GCCGGCGACCGGCUGCACGGGUGAGUAACACGUAUGGAACCUGCCCGCCACAGGGGGAUAACCCGGGGAAACCCGGCCUAAUACCCCAUGCCGUCCGGACCGGGCAUCCGGUCCGGGCGAAAGGAGGAAUCCGGUGGCGGCUGGGCAUGCGGCGCAUUAGCUUGACGGCGGGGUAACGGCCCACCGUGGCGACGAUGCGUAGGGGUUCUGAGAGGAAGGCCCCCCACACUGGAACUGAGACACGGUCCAGACUCCUACGGGAGGCAGCAGUGAGGAAUAUUGGUCAAUGGGCGGAAGCCUGAACCAGCCAAGUCGCGUGAGGGAAUAAGGCCCUACGGGUCGUAAACCUCUUUUGCCGGGGAGCAAGGGCCGGGACGCGUCCCGGCCCGGAGAGUACCCGGAGAAAAAGCAUCGGCUAACUCCGUGCCAGCAGCCGCGGUAAUACGGAGGAUGCGAGCGUUAUCCGGAUUUAUUGGGUUUAAAGGGUGCGUAGGCGGGCUUUUAAGUCAGCGGUAAAAAUUCGGGGCUCAACCCCGUCCGGCCGUUGAAACUGGGGGCCUUGAGUGGGCGAGAAGAAGGCGGAAUGCGUGGUGUAGCGGUGAAAUGCAUAGAUAUCACGCAGAACCCCGAUUGCGAAGGCAGCCUUCCGGCGCCCUACUGACGCUGAGGCACGAAAGUGCGGGGAUCGAACAGGAUUAGAUACCCUGGUAGUCCGCACAGUAAACGAUGGAUG
rnacentral:rRNA from 1 species